rnacentral:rRNA from 1 species
UACGUAGGGUGCAAGCGUUGUCCGGAAUUAUUGGGCGUAAAGAGCUCGUAGGCGGCUUGUCAUGUCGACUGUGAAAACCCGGGGCUCAACUCCGGGCCUGCAGUCGAUACGGGCUGGCUUGAGUGCGGUAGGGGAGACUGGAAUUCCUGGUGUAGCGGUGGAAUGCGCAGAUAUCAGGAGGAACACCAAUAGCGAAGGCAGCUCGCUGGGACGUUACUGACACUGAGGCGCGAAAGCGUGGGGAGCAAACAGG